rnacentral:misc_RNA from 1 species
AACACUGUUAACCUGCGGUACCUGCGGAAGGAUCAUUACCGAGUUUACAACUCCCAAACCCCUGUGAACAUACCUAUACGUUGCCUCGGCGGAUCAGCCCGCGCCCUGUAAAAAGGGACGGCCCGCCCGAGGACCCCUAAACUCUGUUUUUAGUGGAACUUCUGAGUAAAACAAACAAAUAAAUCAAAACUUUCAACAAUGGAUCU